AAAUUGAAGAGUUUGAUCAUGGCUCAGAUUGAACGCUGGCGGCAGGCCUAACACAUGCAAGUCGAACGGUAACAGGAAGCAGCUUGCUGUUUCGCUGACGAGUGGCGGACGGGUGAGUAAUGUCUGGGAAACUGCCUGAUGGAGGGGGAUAACUACUGGAAACGGUAGCUAAUACCGCAUAACGUCGCAAGACCAAAGAGGGGGACCUUCGGGCCUCUUGCCAUCGGAUGUGCCCAGAUGGGAUUAGCUAGUAGGUGGGGUAAC
rnacentral:rRNA from 1 species